rnacentral:rRNA from 1 species
GACGAACGCUGGCGGCGUGCUUAACACAUGCAAGUCGAACGGAAAGGCCCUGCUUUUGUGGGGUGCUCGAGUGGCGAAAGGGGGAGUAAAACGUGAGUAACAUGCCCUUGACUUUGGGGUAACUUCAGGAAACUGGGGCUAAUACCGGAUAGGAGCUCCUGCUGCAUGGUGGGGGUUGGAAAGUUGCGGUGGUUGGGGAUGGACUCGCGGCUGAUCAGCUUGUUGGUGGGGUAGUGGCGUACCAAGGCAUGGACGGGUAGCCGGCCUGAGAGGGUGACCGGCCACAUUGGGACUGGGAUACGGCCCAGACGCCUACGGGAGGCAGCAGUGGGGAAUAUUGCACGAUGGGCGGAAGCCGGAUGCAGGAACGCCGCGUGCGGGAUGACGGCCUGCGGGUUGUAAACCGCUUUCGCCUGUGACGAAGCGUGAGUGACGGUAAUGGGUAAAGAAGCACCGGCUAACUACGUG